rnacentral:rRNA from 1 species
UGGGGAAUUUUCCGCAAUGGGCGAAAGCCUGACGGAGCAAUGCCGCGUGAGUGAAGAAGGGUUUCGGCUCGUAAAGCUCUGUUGUUAAAGAAGAACGUGGGUAAGAGUAACUGUUUACCCAGUGACGGUAUUUAACCAGAAAGCCACGGCUAACUACGUGCUAG